rnacentral:rRNA from 1 species
GAUGAACGCUGGCGGCAUGCUUAACACAUGCCAGUCGGACGGGAAGUGGUGUUUCCAGUCGCGGUCGGGCGAGUAACGCGUAAGAACCUGCCUUUGGGAGGGGAACAACAACUGGAAACGGUUGCUAAUAUCCCGUCGACUGAGGAGCAAAAGGAGGAAUCCGCACGAGGAGGGGCUCGCGUCUGAUUAGCUAGUUGGUGAGGUAAUAGCUGACCAAGGCGAUGAUUAGUAGCUGGUCCGAGUGGAUGAUCAGCCACACUGGAACUGAGACACGGCCCAGACUGCUACUGGGGACAGCAGUGGGAAAUGUACCGCAAUGAGCGAGAGCCUGACAGAGCAAUACCGCAUGGAGGUAGACGGCCGACGGGUCGUGAACUUCUUUUCUCGGAGAAGAAACAAUGACGAUAUCUGAGGAAUAAGCAACGGCUAACUCUGUG